rnacentral:rRNA from 1 species
CCCUACGGGGGGCAGCAGUGGGGAAUAUUGCACAAUGGGGGAAACCCUGAUGCAGCAACGCCGCGUGAGUGAUGACGGCCUUCGGGUUGUAAAGCUCUGUCUUCAGGGAGGAUAAUGACGGUACCUGAGGAGGAAGCCACGGCUAACUACGUGCCAGCAGCCGCGGUAAUACGUAGGUGGCGAGCGUUGUCCGGAUUUAUUGGGUUUAAAGGGGGCGCAGGCGGCACGGCA